GCUGAGAUCGUGCCACUGUACUCCAGACUGGGUGACAGAGGGAGACUCAGUCUCCAAAAAAAAAAAAAUUGAGAGUUUAAUCUUUCUAUAAGUAUAGUAUUUCCCUUCAUAUAAUAGGAUUUUUAAAUUAUUUACCUUUUUGUUAGGACUUUUAUGGAAUCUUAUAUUUAUGUGAAGAUGUAGGUUUAGAAGGAAGAUAAUUGGGUUUGGUGUAAACUUUGGUUUUGUAAAUGUUAGUAUUUAAUACUUUAAAAAUAUUCCUACUUUUUUUUUUAGUAUGACUAAUAUUUAUUAUGGCCAGUAUCACCUAUGUAUUUUUUGUUAAAGAAGUUGUCUUAUAUACAUAGAAAUGGUAUAAUAAGCUACUUUAAACAACCCUGGAUAUGUUUCUUUUCCCUUCCUGUCACUGUCCUCUUUCUUCCCUUUUCCCUUUUGAUUAAGAAGUUCCAUCAGAAAAGUCAUAAAAUCUAACUCCUGUUUAUUCUCGAGCUAUCAGCUAAAAUGUCACUUUCUCAGGAAAUCCUGCCUGACCCCCCUUUCCCCUUUGUUCUGGCACCCAUUCCCCUGGCCUUUAAAUGCUUUCAUAGCAGUGUGUACCUAUCUAUCAUUUUUUACAGUUUGUAAUUACGGCUUUUUUUUUUUUUUUUUUUUUGAGAUGGAGUCUCGCUUUGUCGCCCAGGCUGGAGUGCGUGGUGCGAUCUUGGCUUACUACAACCUCUGCCUCCCAGGUUCAAGCAAUUUUCCUGCCUCAGCCCCCCCAAGUAGCUGGGACUACAGGUGCGCACCACCACGCCUGGCUAAUUUUUGUAUUUUUAGUAGAGGCGGAGUUUCAUCAUGUUGGCCAGGCUGGUCUCAAACUCCUGACCUCAGGUGACCCACCUGCCUUGGCCUCCCAAAGUGCUGGGAUUACAGGCGUGAGCCACCGUGCCCGGCUUCCUGUAAUUAUGUAUUAAAAUGUAUAAUUACUUGAUUAAUAGCUAUCUUCCCAACUAGACCAAAAACUCCAUAGAAUGUAUGGAAUUUUCCUCCAUCAUCCUUGUAGUCCAAGCAUAAUAUUUAUUAAAUGAGUAAAUGAGUGAAUUAACUAGCCAUUUUGAUUAAUUUUCUCUUUUUAGUGCAGUUUUGGUUUAGGACUGUAAGGAGUCAUACUGGCCAUAUUCAGAAUGUCACAUUAGUGUUUUAAGUCCAUUCUGUAUUUUUUUCAAUGAGUUUCAGCAAAAUCUGAGAGUGUCUUAAGUGAAAUUGGUUAUAUCUAGGGUGGAGGUAUUAUAUUUGGAAAGACUUGUAACAGUAGAAAGCUUUUUAUUUAAAUCUUUGAGUUUUAAAAUAUUUUUAUUAUGAAGUUAUUUAUGAUUUUAUAGGUAAUAUUUUUAAUGAGACCUUGAAAAAUUUAUAGAGUGCAGUUUAUUACAGAAUCUGAGUUGCCUAAUAGUUUUUAAUAGUUUUUGAGUAUCAGUAUUUUGAUUAAUUUUAAGUUAGGGAUCAUUUCCUCUAAUUCUUUGAACAUAAUUAUUUGUUGGUUGAUUUUUUUUUUUAAUGUAACAGUGUUUUUGAGAUGUAAUUUAUGUACCAUACGGUUCUUCUACUUUAGGGUAUUAGAUUCAUGGAUUUUUUGUACAUUCACAGAUGUGACCGUCAUUGCAGUCAAUUUUAGAACAUUUUCAUAAUCUCAAAAGGAAAACUGUAGCCUUUGGCUAUUAUCCACUUAUUCUUCCAUCCCUGAGCAACCACUAAACUACUUUUGCAUUGAUGACUGGGAAGUGAGAGACAUAGAUUUUUGAAAAGCUGAAAAUAACUUCUAGUUUAACAAAAUAGUUUCUUCCAGAGCUUAGAAUUUCAGAUGAUUGGAAAAUUCAUACAUCUAGGUCUGAAAGUUUAAGUCUUUCGCAUCUAUGGAGAUCUCUAUUUUCUACAACCUAAAAUGCUAUGAUGGGUGACAGGUUAAAGACAAACCUUUUUAAAAAAUGUAUAUUUUUAUUGCUAUAUAGUGGUAUUAUGGCUUUUGAAAUUCCUAUUUUUACCAUAAACAGAUUAUUAGGUGCUUACUGAUUCCAGAUAAUAGCCUAAUCUAUUAGAAGGUAGAAGAGAGAAUCUCUGGUGAUACACUGUCCAUACAUGGUUCAAUAGGAGGUAGCAAAGGCUAAGUAUGAGUAAGUGACAAAAGCAGUAAAUGCUGCAGAACUGAAAUUCAGAGAAUUGCGCUUCCACUGUUGGGUAAGGCUUAAGGGGAGACUUUGAAAGAGGAAGAUGAGCUAUGCCUUCCUUUGGGUACUGAUUUAAUUUCUUUUGCCAUUUUUUUGCAUUUCUUGAAUGUAGGAAUUUAUCCUUACCCAUGUGCAUAUUCAUCAGCUCCAAUUUAGGAGAUUGACUAGUGUAGCACGUCAUAACCAGAAAGAUACUUGGAGGUAGACUUUUCCCUAAAGUUUAUACAAGACACUUAAUGGGCUGGGUCCUUGAUCAUGUACUUCUUUCUUAGACUUUGUGUAUAUGAAGUGGUGUUCUUAUCCUUAUUUCUUUCCACAUUCACCCUUUUUAAUGCUUUUAGUAAGUCUUUUCAGUUUUUGUUAAGAUUUAUUUUAUAGUUACACUAUUGUAUUUAUUGAAGGUAGCUUGGCUGAUACUGUUCCAAAGUCACUUGCCACUUUCCUCUCUGCAUAAUUAACAUUUAUUCUCCUCAUUAUUUGUCAAUGAAUUCCCUUCUGUUUAUUUAUAGUUUCUUUAUGAUUCUGCAUAUCAGAAGAUAACAAGCACUUAUCACAAAUGCAUUUAGGGGAUGUACUACUCUGUAAAAAAUUUAAAUAUAUUGAAAAUAGAACUCUUUGAAUUUUAUUUUACUCUUUUGAGGAAAUGAAGAUAUCUUGAUUUUUUUUAUGGUAUUCUAACCUGCUUUUCCGGGGCAUACAGGGCAGCACUUAUUUUUAUAUAAAUCUGAGAAUGUGUGAAUUGCAAAUUAAUCUUCUGGCAGAUAUCUAAUGCUGUUGAUAGAGAUGUGUUGCCCUAAGAUUUAUUGGAUUUAAUGAGACAGUCUUUUGAUAUAUCCUUGAAUUAUGAUGGGAUAUUGGGUUGCCACAUGUAAGUUUUAGAAUAUUUUUUAAUGAUAUAGAGAAAAUGCUUCAGAUACAAUGGCAUGUAAAAGAGAAAACAGCAAAAAAACCCUGAUUUUAAAACGGUUUGAUUCAAUUUAUAUUUUAAAAACACAGACACAUGAUUUGUAUGCCUGUGUAUAUAGAAAAGAUUGCAAGGAUAUUUACCAAAAUAUUAAGUGAUUAUCUCUGGGUUGUAGUAAUUGGGGUGAUUUUUAUUUUUUAAGUGCCUUUUCUUUGGGUAUUGCCUGAAAUGUUAAAUAUUAUCUCAUUUUAGCAAAUAAUAAAUACUACUUUUAACUAAGAAAAAA